UACGGGGGGGGUAAGCGUUGUUCGGAAUUACUGGGCGUAAAGGGCUCGUAGGCGGCCAACUAAGUCAUACGUGAAAUCCCUCAGCUUAACUGGGGAACUGCGUGUGAUACUGGAUGGCUUGGAUUUGGGAGAGGGAUGCGGAAUUCCAGGUGUAGCGGUGAAAUGCGUAGAUAUCUGGAGGAACACCGGUGGCGAAGGCGGCAUCCUGGACCAAUAUUGACGCUGAGGUGCGAAAGCCAGGGGAGCAAAGCGGG
rnacentral:rRNA from 1 species